CAAGCCCUGUUGUCAAUAUGGUCUCUUAAACAGGAUUAGCCUGUUAUCCCUAAGGUAGCUUCUUCUAUUAAUCAGCUAUGCUGGAUCUUUUUAUGUAUUUAAGAGGUGUUUAAGAAUCCUCUAGUUGCCCCAACUAAACUUGGAACUAAAAUAAAGUCAGUUAUAAGUAAAGCUCUAUAGGGUCUUUUCGUCUUUUUAAAAGAUUCAAGCCUCUUCACUUGAAGGUCAAUUUUUAUUUAUAAAUAAGAGAC
rnacentral:rRNA from 1 species